rnacentral:rRNA from 1 species
UAGCUAGUUGGUGAGGUAAAGGCUUACCAAGGCGACGAUCUGUAGCGGGUCUGAGAGGAUGAUCCGCCACACUGGAACUGAGACACGGUCCAGACUCCUACGGGAGGCAGCAGUGGGGAAUUUUGGACAAUGGGGGCAACCCUGAUCCAGCCAUGCCGCGUGAGUGAAGAAGGCCUUCGGGUUGUAAAGCUCUUUCGGCCGGGAAGAAAUCGCAUGGGCCAAUACCCUGUGUGGAUGACGGUACCGGAAUAAGAAGCACCGGCUAACUACGUGCCAGCAGCCGCGGUAAUACGUAGGGUGCGAGCGUUAAUCGGAAUUACUGGCGUAAAGCGUGCGCAGGCGGUUUUGUAAGACAGGCGUGAAAUCCCCGGGCUUAACCUGGGAACUGCGUUUGUGACUGCAAGGCUAGAGUACGGCAGAGGGGGGUGGAAUUCCACGUGUAGCAGUGAGAUGCGUAGAGAUGUGGAGGAACACCAAUGGCGAAGGCAGCCCCCUGGGUCGAUACUGACGCUCAUGCACGAAAGCGUGGGUAGCAAACAGGAUUAGAUACCCUGGUAGUCCACGCCCUAAACUAUGUCAACUAGGUGUUGGGUGGGUAAAACCAUUUAGUACCGUAGCUAACGCGUGAAGUUGACCGCCUGGGGAGUACGGCCGCAAGGUUAAAACUCAAAGGAAUUGACGGGGACCCGCACAAGCGGUGGAUGAUGUGGAUUAAUUCGAUGCAACGCGAAAAACCUUACCUACCCUUGACAUGCCAGGAACUUGCCAGAGAUGGCUUGGUGCCCGAAAGGGAGCCUGGACACAGGUGCUGCAUGGCUGUCGUCAGCUCGUGUCGUGAGAUGUUGGGUUAAGUCCCGCAACGAGCGCAACCCUUGUCGUUAAUUGCCAUCAUUUAGUUGGGCACUUUAACGAGACUGCCGGUGACAAACCGGAGGAAGGUGGGGAUGACGUCAAGUCCUCAUGGCCCUUAUGGGUAGGGCUUCACACGUCAUACAAUGGUCGGUACAAAGGGUUGCCAAGCCGCGAGGCGUAGCCAAUCCCAGAAAGCCGAUCGUAGUCCGGAUUGCAGGCUGCAACUCGCCUGCAUGAAGUCGGAAUCGCUAGUAAUCGUGGAUCAGCAUGUCACGGUGAAUACGUUCCCGGGUCUUGUACACACCGCCCGUCACACCAUGGGAGCGGGUUCCGCCAGAAGUAGGUAGCCUAACCGCAAGGGGGGCGCUUACCACGGCGGGGUUCGUGACUGGGGUGAAGUCGUAACAAGGUAGCCGUAGGGGAACCUGCGGCUG